rnacentral:rRNA from 1 species
AUGAGGUGCUGGCUGCUGCAGUUGAGGAGCAUUUUCAGUGCAAACGACAACAAUUUCCUAUUAAAUACUUGGGCUUGCCUCUCCAUCUACAGAUUGCGGCGUAACGAGCUGCUGCCUCUCAUUGACAAAGUUUCUGGAAAAAUGAAAGGAUGGAAGCCAAAGAUGCUGGCUGCGGCGGGUUGCCUUACGCUCACUCGUUCGGUUUUAAUGGCUUUGCCAAUUCACUUGAUGGUUGUGCUUCCUAUGCCGGCUUGGGCCAUCAAAAUAAUCAAUAGGCGUUGUCGAGGGUUCAUCUGGAAGGGGGAAGAAGAUAUUAAUGGAGGUCAUUGUCUAUUACCAUGGUCAAGAGUCUAUUUGCCAUUGGAAUUGGGAGGUCUCGGUAUAAUUAAUCUAAAGUUGUUCGGCAUGGCGCUUCGUUGCAAAUGGUCGUGGUUAAGGUGGGACACGUGUGAGAGACCAUGGCAU